UACGUAGGGGGCAAGCGUUGUCCGGAGUUACUGGGCGUAAAGCGCCCGCAGGCGGUCGCGUCAGUUUGGGGUGACAGCUCCUGGCUUAACCGGGAGAGGACCUCGAAGACGGCGUGACUGGAGGGCCAGAGAGGGACAUGGAACUCCGGGUGGAGCGGUGAAAUGCGUAGAGAUCCGGAAGAACACCAAAGGCGAAGGCAGUGUCCUGGCUGGCACCUGACGCUCGGGGGCGAAAGCGAGGGGAG
rnacentral:rRNA from 1 species